rnacentral:rRNA from 1 species
UCGAACGAUGAAGCCCUUCGGGGUGGAUUAGUGGCGAACGGGUGAGUAACACGUGGGCAAUCUGCCCUUCACUCUGGGACAAGCCCUGGAAACGGGGUCUAAUACCGGAUAACACUCUGUCCCGCAUGGGACGGGGUUAAAAGCUCCGGCGGUGAAGGAUGAGCCCGCGGCCUAUCAGCUUGUUGGUGGGGUAAUGGCCUACCAAGGCGACGACGGGUAGCCGGCCUGAGAGGGCGACCGGCCACACUGGGACUGAGACACGGCCCAGACUCCUACGGGAGGCAGCAGUGGGGAAUAUUGCACAAUGGGCGAAAGCCUGAUGCAGCGACGCCGCGUGAGGGAUGACGGCCUUCGGGUUGUAAACCUCUUUCAGCAGGGAAGAAGCGAAAGUGACGGUACCUGCAGAAGAAGCGCCGGCUAACUACGUGCCAGCAGCCGCGGUAAUACGUAGGGCGCAAGCGUUGUCCGGAAUUAUUGGGCGUAAAGAGCUCGUAGGCGGCUUGUCACGUCGGAUGUGAAAGCCCGGGGCUUAACCCCGGGUCUGCAUUCGAUACGGGCUAGCUAGAGUGUGGUAGGGGAGAUCGGAAUUCCUGGUGUAGCGGUGAAAUGCGC